rnacentral:rRNA from 1 species
UUAAAAAGCUCGUAGUUGGAUUUCUGCUUGAGAGGGACGGCAGGCGUCAUUGACGUUUAGUCUGACUUCUCGUGCAUCCUGCCACGAACCACGCUGCUCUUAAUUGAGUGGCGUCGGGGAUUGGCUCGUUUACUUUGAGAAAAAUAGAGUGUUCAAAGCAGGCUUACGCAUCUGAAUAAGUUAGCAUGGAAUAAUGAUAAAGGACUUUGGUUCUAUUUGUUGGUGUUCGGAACUGAAGUAAUGAUUGAUAGGGACAGUUGGGGGCAUCAGUAUUCCGAAGCGAGAGGUGAAAUUCUAGGACCUCCGGAAGACUAACCGCUGCGAAAGCGUUUGCCAAGGAUGUUCCCUUUGAUCAAGAACGAAAGUUGGGGGAUCGAAGACGAUCAGAUACCGUCGUAGUCUCAACUAUAAACUAUACCAGCUAGGGAUCGGCCGGCGUUAUUUCUAAGGGCCCGGUCGGCACCUUAUGAGAAAUCAAAGCAUUUGGGUUCCGGGGGGAGUAUG